rnacentral:rRNA from 1 species
AGAGUUUGAUCCUGGCUCAGAACGAACGCUGGCGGCAGGCCUAAUACAUGCAAGUCGAGCGCGCCCUUCGGGGUGAGCGGCGGACGGGUGAGUAACGCGUGGGAAUAUGCCCUUCUCUAAGGAAUAGCCUCUGGAAACGGAGAGUAAUACCUUAUACGCCCUUUGGGGGAAAGAUUUAUCGGAGAAGGAUUAGCCCGCGUUAGAUUAGGUAGUUGGUGGGGUAAUGGCCUACCAAGCCUACGAUCUAUAGCUGGCUUGAGAGGAUGAUCAGCCACACUGGGACUGAGACACGGCCCAGACUCCUACGGGAGGCAGCAGUAGGGAAUCUUAGACAAUGGGGGCAACCCUGAUCUAGCCAUGCCGCGUGUGUGAUGAAGGCCCUAGGGUCGUAAAGCACUUUCGCCAGAGAUGAUAAUGACAGUAUCUGGUAAAGAAACCCCGGCUAACUCCGUGCCAGCAGCCGCGGUAAUACGGAGGGGGUUAGCGUUGUUCGGAAUUACUGGGCGUAAAGCGCACGUAGGCGGAUUAGUAAGUUAGAGGUGAAAUCCCAGGGCUCAACCCUGGAACUGCCUUUAAUACUGCUAGUCUUGAGUUCGAGAGAGGUAAGU